UGCUCUUGACUGCUGAACUCUUUCUCCGGCCCCUGUAGCUGCUUCUCAGAUUGCAUAAAGAUCAUUGUCACCAAGCAGAGCUGAAUAGAGAGCAACACAAGGCGCAAGCUUUAAGCUGUUCCAGGCUUUGAACCGUGUCUACUCUCCACCUCUCAUCAGUGUUGCCGUUAUCCUGAGCAUGGGUCUUGCCCUUCUACCUCAAGAGCAUCGCCUGCCACCAGCUCGAAGACACGGGACAAUCUGGAGCUUCAAACCCAUGUGACAGUCUACUCUGGUCUGGACCUCUGUCCAUUCUCUCUGCUCUAACACAGAGUUCUAGAAAAUAUGCAAUUCUGUAGAGACAUGGUUACCAGAAAAUGGAGCAGCCUGGCUCAUUUAAAAGUCUUGCAGUGAUAAAAUGCUCGGACGGAAGCAACAUGGAGGAGACAGGGUUUGUUCUAGCACACAGCUCUGGUGUGGAACUGUGUGGAGAAGCCACAGGGGACUUGGAGGCAAGCCGGGAGAGAGGGAGGAGAAAGAGAUCGCCAUGAUGGGGAAGAAGGAAGAGGAGACCUAAAGGCCAGCUGACAUCAGGACUUUGGGUCCCUAACCUGCAACUCAGCACUCAGUCCAUCAUGGGCUUUGCUAGUCUCUGUGACUUCUCCAGGGCAGGAAAGUGACAGGUUUCUGCGCAAGGGAGCCCGAGGUACCUGGUUCAGGAUGGAGAGGGCACUUGAGAGGCGUCAAAAGCAAGCACAGUUAGAGGACAUCAGCGAUGUUAAAACCCCACGAGGGUCAACAGUAGCCCAGGCAAAAUAAAGGAGCCUGAAGUGGAAAAACAGAAAUGGAACAAGACGUUUGUUCUGGAGCACGUGAGAUUGUCCUUCUAAGACAUUUCCAGAAGUAUUCAAAGGAAGAUUUAAUGGGAAAUCAUUAUGCAAAAGAGUCAGUAAUAUAUUUUAGUUUCAAAAAGUACGGAGCGUGACGCCUGUCAAUUAUACCUUCUGCAAAGGUGAGUGGCGGUUGUCCUUGCUGUUCCAAAAUGCAAAGAGAAACAAACAAACAAACAAACAAGCAAACCAGCUACUCCUAUUCCGCACUCCAAACACCAAGCAGAAAUGCUUCUGGGACAAACUGAGCUUCAUUCUUUAUGAAAAUGAAAACACUUCUUUCUGUGCACUAGGAAAAUGUUCUGCCUCUGAGCUGCAAAACCAGCACCAAACUUGAAAAGUUUGUGCAUCAAAGGAAAAAGGCAACCUACAGGAUGGGGGAGAAUAUUUGCAGGACACAUGUCCUGGAAGGAAUACAUAUUUAGACUGAAUAAAAUGAGUAAGAGGAGGGAUAGGGAGUUCGUGUUCAAUGUUGAGAGCUUGGGACAGUUGAGAAAACGCUCCGGAGUGUUCUGCAGAUGAAUGAUGGUGACGACUGCAUCAGUGUGAAUGUCCUUAACGCCGUCAAAAAUUGGUUAUAAUGGCAAAUUUUAUGCUACAUAUGUUUUACUACAAUAAAAAUGCCAGGAAAAUCUAACUGCUCCAAAUCCUGAAUUUAUUAACCCAAUAAAUUAGGAGAUGGUUAUUGACCUAUAAAUGGAUUUGUCAAUUUUUAAAAUGAUUUCCUUUAAAUUGAAUUCUUUCCUAGAGCUUUAUUGUCUCUUCACAAACCAUUAAACACUUGUUAAAGUGUUCAGAGAGGGCUGAGAUGGAGGAGGAAGUGAAAACCAAACAAACAGAUGAGGGACCUUCCCCAAAUGAUGUCUGCUAACAGGCUUCUUGGGUAUUCUAUUUAUAUAGAUUUUACAAGUGUUUUAUUUGAGAGGAAAAAUCCCUAGACCUUACAUAGUACAAUGAACUUCUUAUGCCUGUCAGCUAGAUUUAUUAAUUUUUAACGAGGUGUAUUACUUUUAAAAGCUAUCUAUUUACUAUUGGGGGAGGGAGAAGGACAAAGGACAUCUUGCAGAAGUCUGGUCUCUCCUGCUAUGUGGGUUCUGGAGAUAGGAAAUCAGGCAGGUUGUCAGGCCUAGAAGCAAAGGCCUGUCUGCACUGAGCCAUCUUACUUGUCUUAUUUUGUUACUUUUGAUGACCUAUUUUAGACAUCACUAUUCUAUAGCCCUAAGUAUAACUUCAAGUAUGUAUCUUCCACAAUGACUUUAUGACCAUGAAAUCAAUUCAAGAAAUUUAACAUGUAUGCAGUUCUAUCCAGCGUACAUACAGAUUUCUCAUCCCCCCUUUUACUGUAGUUUAUAGAAAAAGCAAUUCUCUUCCAUAUCUAGAGUUUGACAAGGAAUAUGCAUUGCAUUUGGUUUCUGUGUUCUUUAAUCUCUUGUUGUACAGAACUUCAACCUUUCAUGACAGGUUGAACAAUUUUGGAUCAUACAGGCUGUCAUGGUUUGAAUAUGUUUGGCCCAGGGAGUGGUACUGUUAGGGGUGUGGUCUUCUUGGAAUAGGUGUGUCACCGUGGGCGUGGGCUUUAAGACCCUCAUCCUUAGCUUCUGGAAGUCAGUCUUCCACUAGCAACCUUCAGAUGAAGAUGUAGAACUCUCACCAUCUCCUGCACUAUACCUGCCUGGAUAUCGCCAUGUUCCUGCCUUGAUGAUUAUGGACUGAACCUCUGAACCUGUAAGCCAGCCCCAAUUAAAUUUGUCCUUAUAAGAGUUACCUUGGUCAUGGUGUCUGUUCACAGCAGUAAAACCCUAACUAAGACACAGGCCAAUUACAGAAUGUCUCUUUUUGGUGUGUGCAGUGUUAAAGUUUGAAGCACAAGCCUAAUGCUUGUUAGACAAGCACUCUACCGCUGCUCUACAUCAGCAGCUCAGUGUGCCUCUUGUCUUGAUGGGCUCAUUGUUUUUUAUGACCCAGUGCAUUGGGGUGAGCAGCUCACACAGGUACGAAGGGGUCCCUCUCAGAGCUUAACAUCAGGGAACUCAAUGUUGGUUUGUCUGUUCUAUUUCAGCUGAGCUAGUAUCUGGCAGUUCCCCACAACCCCCAUCAAGUUACCACUUUUUUCUUUGUAAUUGUAAUUUGCAAAGAAAUAUUUGCAAGAUUAAGUAAUAGACUACACAACGUGUUUUAGCUUCCACUGAGCAUUCAGCCUGAACUGUUUUAUAAAGUUAUGAAAUGAUAGAUUUCCAACUUAAUAAUUAUUUUAAAGACUUAUUUUAUUUUUAGUUCUGCAUGUAUGCCUGUGUGUGCACGUGUGUACCUAUGUAUCUGUAUGGUUAUGUGCACAUGAAUGCAGAUGUCCAAGGAGAAGAGGCCAGACACAUUGGAUCCCUGGUGCUCAAGUGGGAGGUGGCUGUCAGCUGCUGUAGGAAGGUGAUGGGAACUCAGCUUGAGUCCUUUGCAAGAACAGCAUGAGCUCUUAAACACAGAGCCACAUCUUCAGUCCCUCUCUUAUUUUUUUAAAAAUUAUUCUCUCUCUGUGUAUGUGUGUGUAUACAGAGGUCAGAGGAUCAUUUUUGUAAAAUUAGUUCUCUCUACCUUUUUUUGUGGGCUCUGGGGACUAAACUCAAGUUGUUGGGAUUUUGUGACAAGUGCUGUAUCCACUGAGCCCUCUCACAUGCCCUUAAAUGUUAUUUUAAAUAAUAGCAAAUGAGUACGUUCAAGCAUACGAGAAUAAGCAUGUCCUAUUGAUUUGAAUAUGCAAAAGUAUGCCAAUUUUUUAAAUCUCUAUUACCAAGUGGACAAGUAUUCCAUUUUAUCUCCAAAAGUAAAGAUUUCUUUUAGAUACAGUCAUGUGGAUUAUACAACUUGACUGAAGCCAUGUCUCCAAGAUACAUACCUAGAGGGUAAAGGGAAUGCUUUAAAGGAGCGUGAUUAUGAAUAUCCAAGCUGAAAAUAAACACUAAUUACUAACAAAAAGGAUUACUGAGAAAAAUAUGGGUUGGUUUUCAGUACUUGACUCUGUAAAGUUAUUUCUUUUCUUAUUUAGUUUUUAUUCAUAAUCAUAAACUUAACUUUGCCAUCCAGCUAGACUUGAAGGGGAAUGAGGAAAAUAUGGAACCCAAAGAACUUGAGCAGAGAUUACAGGGUAUUUCAAGCAGAUGGGGUAGGGAUGCUCUCCUGCGCUACAGAAGGAAUGGUUGGAUGGGUAAAAUGCCUGCAAGUCAAAAGAAAUUAGAGUUAUCCACAGUCGGAAAUGGUCUUGCUGGUCUUUCCAUUCCUGGACCCAAAACACUCCAUGGCUUCCACAAUGUUCAUGCCUUCUUUCACCUUCCCAGACACCACAUGCUUGCCAUCCAGCCACUUAGUCUUGGCAGUGCAGAUAAAAAACUGGGAACCGUUUGUGUUGGUCCAGUAUUUGCCAUGGACAAGAUGCCAGGACCUGUAUGCUUCAGGAUGAAGAUCUCAUCCUCAAAUUUCUCUCCAUAGAUGGAUCUGCCGCCAGUGCCAUUAUGGCAUGUAAAGUCACCACCCUGGCACAUGAAUCCUGGAAUAAUUCUGUGAAAGGAGGAACCCUUCUAGUAAAAUCCUUUCUCUCCAGUGCUCAGAGCAUGAAAGUUUCCCGCUGUCUUUGGAACUUUGUCUGCAAACAGCUGGAAGGAGACUCUUCAAGGGCUCGUCAUCGGCCGUGAUGUCAGAGAACACGGUGGGGUCGACUGUGGCUACAGCAAGAGGACCAACGGUACUGUUGCUCUAGCUACAGGAAUAAUCCUGGGCAGCACUUGUUGACCUUGGUCACUGUCAAGGGAAGAUCGGCUGUUCCCACUGAGGGCAUCUUGAUGGAUUAAGGUGAUCAGCUGAUCAAUGUGAGGGGACAGAUGGGAGCUAGGAACUGUCUCGGUACUGAGUCAUUUUUCAUCUAAUGUGCAAGAAACCCAAAGAGCACAUCAAACAGCGAACUACGCCUAAGCUAUCCAUGUUUCUCCUGCUUCUUCUGAGAGGGUGAUUUACACGUAGCUCAACACUCGAGUGUUGCAGUAUCGAGUGACUGCAACCAAACAAUGGAACAUGCAUCGUGCCUGUUGACAGAGCCUGCAGUUGGCUUGGAACCGGGACCAUGCUGCAUUCGACAUCGUUCCUGGUGGCUGACUUGUUCCCAUAGAAUUAAAUGCUAGGCAUCCAGAAGCUGACUGUGCAUCUGAUGGGCUCACUAACAUUCAGGAACAGGUUGGCCUCAGACUUCAUCAAUGGAAAGUGUAGGCAUAGGACAAAAAAAAGAGCACGUUUGAAAGACUACAUUUUCAUGAAAUUGGAAAUGCUACAUGCAAGCUGCAGAUGCUGAUUGCAGAGUCAGAAGACAUGGCCGUCAGUGUUAGGACUCUGCCUUAUUCUGCUAUUUCUCCUUGACGACCUACAGUUUGCAUUGUGGGUGGCAUUCAUUAACGAGGGCAGUAAAAACAUGGAGAAAACAUUGCAAGCUCUCCUUCGUGUUUCGCUCACUGGCCAAGUAGCUAACCAACUAGGUGUUCAGGCUCCCAUGUGUCUCAAUAUGAUGUGGCUCCUUCCAGUAGCAACCAUCCUGAGCAGAGACCUUUGUUCUAAUUUAAAAAUUAGACAUGAUAUAGAGCUUACCACACAUUUUUCCCCCUGAAGAUUAAAGAUCUUCAUGAAGGUACUGGCUUAAAAGACAUCAACCCCAAGCCUUUCGAAGGAUAUGCACUUGAGAUUGCCAUACUCGAUGGUGCGUCCAAUUAACUUAGAAAUACCCUUGACAUUUCUCAUCCGUGAAGAGAAGCUUUAGGUGACAGUUUUCAUGGUGUGGGUACUCUCGGUGCCUAAUUUGCUUUUUUUUCUUGUUUUCAAGCCUGAAAGGGAAAUAGCCUUGGCUUUCAGCUCUGGAGCGCGAUGCCCUCCUUACGAGUAUUCAGCUACUGUCUGAACCAUUGUACUUGCCUUCCCCUCCAUACCCCUUUUUCCCCAAAGUCCCGUUGAUAGCUCAUU
rnacentral:lncRNA from 1 species